rnacentral:rRNA from 1 species
CCCAAAAAGACAGCUCAUUCGGAUUNAAGGCUGAAAUUCGCCUUCAUGAAGCCGGAAUUGCUAGUAAUGGCAGGUCAGCAUACUGCCGUGAAUACGUUCCCGGGCCUUGUACACACCGCCCGUCACACCAUGAGAGUUGGGGAUACCCGAAGCCUGUGAGCUAACAGUAAUGAAGCAGCAGUCGAAGGUAGAAUCAAUGAUUGGGGUGAAGUCGUAACAAGGUAGC